rnacentral:rRNA from 1 species
UACGGAGGGGGCUAGCGUUGUUCGGAAUUAUUGGGCGUAAAGAGCUCGUAGGCGGCCUGUCGCGUCGACCGUGAAAACCCGCAGCUCAACUGCGGGCUUGCGGUCGAUACGGGCAGGCUGGAGUUCGGUAGGGGAGACUGGAAUUCCUGGUGCAGCGGUGAAAUGCGCAGAUAUCAGGAGGAACACCGGUGGCGAAGGCGGCGCUCUGGGCCGGAACUGACGCUGAGGAGCGAAAGCGUGGGUAGCAAACAGG